CCUUGGUGAUGUCACACACGCACGUCUUACGCCAUGUGUUGACGCCAGACCUGUAAAGGGGAACCCACUGGUGUUGCCAUGGCAAGAAGGGGACAGCUUGUUGGAGUUUCCAACAGUCUGAAAGGA